rnacentral:rRNA from 1 species
UCNAAGGGGGAAAUGUGGUUUAUUCGACGCAACGCGCAGAACCUUACCAGCCCUUGACAUCCCGGUCGCGGACUCCAGAGACGGAGUUCUUCAGUUCGGCUGGACCGGAGACAGGUGCUGCAUGGCUGUCGUCAGCUCGUGUCGUGAGAUGUUGGGUUAAGUCCCGCAACGAGCGCAACCCCCGUCCUUAGUUGCUACCAUUUAGUUGAGCACUCUAAGGAGACUGCCGGUGAUAAGCCCCGUGCAACGUGGGGACGACCCCUAGUCCUCCUGACCAUUAACGGGCUGGGCUACACACGUGCUACAAUGGCGGU